CCAUUACCUCAACCGGUGGGUGCCUGGUUUACCAGAAUCCCACCUGUUUGAAGUUACCCAUGCCUUUUGCGUACAGUUUGUUUUCCCAGCAGGGCGUUUCGCCCCAACGGGACUCCAAUCCACCCAUGUAUUUGCAGUCAACGUCUGAAAACAAUAAUAAUUA
rnacentral:misc_RNA from 1 species